rnacentral:rRNA from 1 species
CCUCAGGAGCCGUGAUAAGCGUUGCCGGCGGCUCAGUCCAGUGACGUUCGUAAAAAUUCACGAUUUGCCGUGUGCCGCGGAUAAGCGCCCCUUCGAGCGCCUCAUCGGCGACAUUCCCCUGCGCAUCCGCAAUCUCGCGCCAGGUUACGGCAUAUUCAAAACAAAGGAUACCUCUUCGGAUGAUCAGGAAAUCAACGCCCGCAUCAUCGACAGCGACCACAAUAUAAUGACCGUCAGGAUCAACGCCAGUUCUGCCAUGGGAAAUAAGCCGCGCAAACGAGACCGAUAGCGCACAAGUA